GAGAAGCUUGCUUUCUUUGCUGGCGACCGGCGCACGGGUGAGUAACACGUAUCCACCUUUCCGAUGACUCGGGGAUAGCCUUUCGAAAGAAAGAUUACUACCCGAUGGUAUAUCUGAAAGGCAUCUUUCAGCUAUUAAAGAAUUUCGGUCAUUGAUGGGGAUGCGUUCCAUUAGGUUGUUGGCGGGGUAACGGCCCACCAAGCCAUCGAUGGAUAGGGGUUCUGAGAGGAAGGUCCCCCACAUUGGAACUGAGACACGGUCCAAACUCCUACGGGAGGCAGCAGUGAGGAAUAUUGGUCAAUGGACGAGAGUCUGAACCAGCCAAGUAGCGUGAAGGAUGACUGCCCUAUGGGUUGUAAACUUCUUUUAUACGGGAAUAAAGUUAGGCACGUGUGCCUUUUUGUAUGUACCGUAUGAAUAAGGAUCGGCUAACUCCGUGCCAGCAGCCGCGGUAAUACGGAGGAUCCGAGCGUUAUCCGGAUUUAUUGGGUUUAAAGGGAGCGUAGGCGGAUGCUUAAGUCAGUUGUGAAAGUUUGCGACUCAACCGUAAAAUUGCAGUUGAUACUGGGUGUCUUGAGUACAGUAGAGGCAGGCGGAAUUCGUGGUGUAGCGGUGAAAUGCUUAGAUAUCACGAAGAACUCCGAUUG
rnacentral:rRNA from 1 species